UGAAUUUUGUUACAAGUUGAAUGCAAAUGAACACUGUUAGCAUUCGAAAAGGCACAAGCUCUUACUUGACUCUUUUCAGUCUGUGUUUUUAGUUUUAUGGCACAUAAUGAUGGCAUUUGGGCUUAAAAAGCCAAACGUAUAUUUUUUUGUCUAGACCAAUUGAUUUGAAAAUAUACAAUUUCCUAAUACUUGACGCACUUCUGAUCAGAUAUUCAAGAGAUUUAAUACAAACAAACACAUUUGUACUUAUUUUUUCACCCAAUGAGAAUCGAUAAGAGAAUCGAUAAGGAAUCGGAUCGAUAAGCAGAAUCGGAAUCGGAAUUGUGAAAUUCUUAUCAAUUCCCAUCCCUAGGACUCGUAUACCCGUAUUUCUGAAGUUGUGGAAGAGAAUGCUAUUCCAUCAGUGAAUUAGGCCAUAUUAUUUGGCCAUAAACUGAGCCAUUUGAAGUUUGAAAUUCAUGUGGUCAUGCAUCUAUCUCAGCGGAGACUACAAACGCGCUGUCAAAAUAUCAACUCGUCAGAUUCAAAUGCGCUCAUGGCUCUUAAAGGGGAUGGGAGAUGGCACUCUCAUUGGUUUAUUGCAUGUUACGCCCAAACCACACCUACGUGUAAUUAGGCUACUUCAGACCAACCCUUUUUGGAUUUGCACCUGGCGCAAGAGUCAUUUAUCCACCGGUAAAAUAGCAACAUCGCCAUAGAACCACCCACAAAGCUACUUGCGUUUGGCGCUUCUCACUUGCGUUUCAGACCGUUAAAAUAGGGCCGAUAGUCUUUAUGAUUCAUAAUAUCAUCCAAGGCGCACAUAGCUUUUGGCCGUGAUAUUACACAGCAAAAUCUGCAGUGUUAAUUAUUUCGAGUUGCUUAGUGUUGAUUUUGGUGUUUUUUAACACUUGCAGUGCAAAAAUAGCUCUGUGCGUGGUAUUGUUUAAGAGAGUUGAUUGUAUGCACGCGCAACAGAGUUAAUCUCAGAGUUAAUUCCAUAUCCGGUUUUAAGGCGCUCUUUUUCUUGAACGCGGCCAUUGCAGUCUUGGUGGAGAAAGGCAGCCCAGCUUCUGGAAGGGGAACAUAAUAUACUAUUUGAAAAGUUUCUUUUUUUUUAGAUGAGGCAUCAUGUUGUUGAAGGUGAAAUACCAGGGUACCAAGAAGUACAUCAGAUUGCAGUCAGGCUUCACCUAUUUGGAAUUCAUCAAUGAAGUCAAAAGCAAGCUUGGUCUUCCUGAUGCGGCAGUGGAUGAAGACAUCCUUCUUGAACUGAUAAGAGUCCAAUCCUGACUUAUGCCUGACAGUAUGUGACAGCUUUCCAGUUGAAGAUCAUUCAUCACCAUCUUCCCUCACGGAUACCAUGUCAUCUUCUUCGAGUGAUAAUGACCUCUCCAGUCUAAGAGAAUGGGGGAUUCCCAUAGACAGAAAUGUAUCCAACUUUGAAGUCAUGACAGAUCUACCACAGAGGGCUGAGGGUCAGAGGCAGCGUAAGAGAUGGUAGAAAAGGCCUCGCUAAGGAAACCUGGAAGUGAGGAUGUCCUGGAAGAGUACAAGUCAGAAAAUACGUUGAAGCACAGCACCCGGAGACACCUUGUUAACAUUCUGGCUAGCCAUAUGACUGAAAUGCAUGGGAGCACUUCUAUGAUGGGGGGAAAAACACAGGAUAUUUAUCAUGGCGCCUGAGGACCAUGUCCAGGAAGAACCGGGCGACGAGCAGUCCACAGGCAGCCACAGUGCCUCAACUACAAGGACCAAAGUGCCAAAGACCAGCCGCCACAGAGCCUCAGCAGCUUGAUGGAGAUGCUUGCAGGGAGGCAAUUUAUUUUGUUGUUCACUCUCCUGAUGAAGCAAGUGUGUUUUUGAAGAUGAAGUUGACCUUACAACAUCGCCAAGACCUAGUGCGUGACGCAGAGAUCUGCCGACGUCUUCAAAUCAUUUCCCAGUUUUCAAAGGACUACUGAAUCAAGACUUACUGCUGCUGUUUGGUGGUGAAACAGCAUCCAAGAUGCUUGAAAAAUGGGACACAGCAUUAAAGAACAAGGUUAUCAUAGAGGCCAAACAACUGACUCAGUCAAAAGAGCUGUGCCGACUUCUGAAUGCUGCUGAGAAACCUACGGAGAAUGAUGACACUACUAAGCUGGGACAGUGACAUGGCUUCUCUGCUGCUGCUCCUUCAUCUCUUGCCACCCACAGCUGGACGGAAGAAGAGCAAAAUCAGUGCCAGUGAUGCAGUGGAAAAAAUGGUUCAUUUUCACAAGUCGUGCUGCAGUAUUGAUGAACACCUGCGUGGGAGAAAGGGUCAACAACCGUACAUCCUUGCUGCUGGUCGCACCCAGAACAAGAUUGACACCUUCUAUAUCGUCGUUGACAAACAGUUCAUCCCCUGCCAUGCCACCAGCUUCUAAGGUGCUUUUGAUGAACUUUUCAAAUCACACUACGUGUUCAACCUGUCAUACGAGGAGUCCCUGGUCCAGCUCUACACAUUUGUGCAGACAACAGUACUCUACAACAUCGAUGUCACAACAACAGACGAGUCUCUUGAAGAAUCCGUGAGUUGCGGGCAAAACUCCUGAACUAGGAUUAAAACAUGUAUAAGUGUUUCAUAUGUGAAGCUGUACACCAGACUGUCCAGUCCUUGGUAACCCAUUCAAGAAUUGAUCACAGUUUCUAUCCUAGAAGCAGGUUUAAGUUGGUUUGUGCACAAGAUCGUUGUAGGCGUCAGUUUUUGUCAUAUUCUAGUUUAAAAAAACAUUUAAUGAGAGUUCAUGAGGAGAGUUUUGUCAAAGUGGUGUUGCAGCAAACCCGGAGUCCUUUCAACCUAUCUAUCAGUGUCCAAAGUACUUCAGAAGUUGGUGAAACAGGUGUCCCACAGAGCUUAAAGGCUGGUUGUUUUGAGGACAAUGUAUCUGGUGUUAACAAAGAACAUACUAAAAAUAUCUGUGCUUCAAUUGUUGCUAAACUUCAAGAAAGUGGUAUGGCAAAUAGUCUUGUUUCAACAAUUGUUAGUGAUUUGGAAGAACUUGCUACUGGACUGCACUCCCAAGUUAAGCAAGAAAUACUAUCUGCUGUGCCUAAAGACAAUUCUAUCCGAUCUACAUUCGAAGGUCUUGAUACUUUUGAAAAUCCAUUUGUAAGAUUUAAUACUGAAACUAAAAGAAUAAGAUAUUUCAACGAAAAAUGGGGUGUUGAGCCUGUAGAAAUAAUGUUAGGACAUUGAUUCGAUACAAGGCGAAAUAAACAAACCGUUUACUUAUGAUCAAGUUCAAGUAAAAGACACUUUUUUUUACGUUCCAAUUUUGGAAACGAUCCAAUUCAUGUACCGCAAUUCUGAUAUGUGUAAAUUGCUUGGGAAAAAAGUUUGUAUCGAAAACUGACAAAUUUGAAGACUUUUGUGAUGGUAGUUAUUUUAAGACGCAUGCAUUGUUCUCUAAACAACGGACUUCUUUACAAAUUCAGAUGUACUAUGAUGACUUUGAAACUGCUAACCGGACCUUUGAAACCAUUUCAUUUUGAUGAGGAUAGUGAGAGGAUUGCCCGAGCCCUUCAUGCUAGGGCUGAACGAUUUCAGGAAAUGAUUGAAUUGCGAUUUUUCUGGCAGAUAUUGCGAUUUCGAUUUUCUUCACGAUUUUCUUCAAAUCAAGCUUCAGUGCAAUAUUCACAAUGUACAGUAAUAUUUACAAACAUGACAUCAUACCAUUAAAACAUGACAUGCCAUUACUCUAAUGCAAGAAUGAAAACUAAAGUUAAGAAUUGAUUUUAAAUGUAUUUAUUAAGAAACAUGUAUGUAAACUAAAGUCCUUGACCAACUGCAGUUGUUACAAAUUAACUAGA